GACACUCCUGUUUAAAAAAAAGAAAAAGACGAACAAGUGAAAAGCAUAUCAAACUUAACGAAGUUUUAUGUGACCGGCCAGUCUUCAAGAAUGAAGACCCCGCAGUCUGAUAAAAGCAGAUGGUUGUGGAGAAGGUGACUGGACGCAAAGAGCCGGAUCUGAUGGCGAUACGCUGCUGGAGGAUCCCAGCAAGGCCUUUUGGUUCAGAUCCUCAUGGUCUCCAGCCUACUCCUGGAAUAGGGGUCUGGCCACCUUCUUUCAGAACACUUUGAGACACCAUGGACAUUAAGGUGACACCUAACUGAGCACCAAAAAGGAAACCUGUUAAAGUGAAAUGAACACUAGGAGAAAUGGUGACUUGAUCAGCCCUCACCCUGACUGUUGAUGAGCAACUUGUUUUCAAGGUUGAGGCGUUCAAGAGUAUGACAAGCUGGGUCCAGCAUUGUGGUGUAGUGAGUUAAGCACCACCUGUGGCACUGGUAUUUCAUAUACCAGUUCUUGUCCUGACUGCUCUGCUUCCAAUCCAGCUUCCUGCUGAUGCAACUGAGAAAGGAGCAGAAGAUGGCCUAAGCACUUGGGCCCCUGCCUUCUAUAUGGGGGAGAGCUGGAUGGAGUUCCUAGCCUCGGCCUGGCCUGGUCCUGGAUGCUGCAGCCAUUUUGGGAAUGAACCAGAAGAUGGACUAUUUCUUUCUCCCUCUGUCUCUUCCUCUCUGUGUCACUCUGCCUUUCAAAUAAAUAAGUCUUUUUUUUUUUUAAAGAGACUGAUCAGUGAAUUUGUUGAUCACUUUAGUUUUGUGAAUUUUUUGCUUCAUAUAUUUUUAAAAUAUGCUAUCAGAUGAAUAGAAAUUUAAGAUUCUUAUGUGUUCUUAAUAAAUAAAUAUUUUUAUACUUUUGAAAUUUCUUUUUCUUUGGGAAUACUCUGUUUUGAUGUCUACUUUGCCUGAAAUUAAUAUGGACACCUUUCUAAUGCUUAUCAUUGUUAUGGUCUAUCUUUUGGAUCCUUUUACUUUCAACCUAUUAGGGAUUUUAUAGUGUGCUUAUUUUAAAUAUGUCUUAAUUUUUUUUGAGUGUCUGCUAAGUGCUAUUCUAAACACUUAACACAAGUCUUUUAUUUAUUUUUUAUUUUUGACAGGCAGAGUGGCAAGUGAGAGAGAGAGACAGAGAGAAAAGUCUUCCUUUUCCAUUGGUUCACCCCACAAUGGCCGCUACGGCUGGUGUAUGUGGCCAGAGCACCACGCUGAUCUGAAGCAAGGAGCCAGGUGCCUCUCCUGGUCUCUCAUGUGGGUGCAGGGCCCAAGGACUUGGGCCAUCCUCCACUGCACUCCCGGGCCACAGCAGAGAGCUGAAUUGGAAGAGGAGCAACCAGGACAGAAUCCGGCGCCUCAACUGGGACUAGAACCUGGGGUGCCGGCGCCAUAGGCAGAGAGGAUUAGCCUAGUGAGCCGCGGUGCUGGCCUAAAUAUGUCUUAAUUUUUAAAAAUUAUUUUAAAUAAUUAUUUUACAUAAGUCUUUAUUUUUAAAAUUGAAUUUGAAUAUCUCUUU